GACGAACGCUGGCGGCGUGCUUAACACAUGCAAGUCGAACGGAAAGGCCCUGCUUUUGUGGGGUGCUCGAGUGGCGAACGGGUGAGCAACACGUGAGUAACCUGCCCUUGACUUUGGGAUAACUUCAGGAAACUGGGGCUAAUACCGGAUAGGAGCUCCUGCUGCAUGGUGGGGGUUGGAAAGUUUCGGCGGUUGGGGAUGGACUCGCGGCUUAUCAGCUUGUGGGUGGGGUAGUGGCUUACCAAGGCUUUGACGGGUAGCCGGCCUGAGAGGGUGACCGGCCACAUUGGGACUGAGAUACGGCCCAGACUCCUACGGGAGGCAGCAGUGGGGAAUAUUGCGCAAUGGGCGGAAGCCUGAUGCAGCACCGCCGCGUGCGGGAUGACGGCCUUCGGGUUGUAAACCGCUUUCGCCUGUGACGAAGCGUGAGCGACGGUAAUGGGUAAAGAAGCACCGGCUAACUACGUG
rnacentral:rRNA from 1 species